UACGUAGGGAGCAAGCGUUGUCCGGAAUCAUUGGGCGUAAAGCGCGCGUAGGUGGCCCCGUAAGUCCGCUGUGAAAGUCAAAGGCUCAACCUUUGAAAGCCGGUGGAUACUGUGGGGCUAGAGUACGGAAGAGGCGAGUGGAACUGCGAGUGUAGAGGUGAAAUUCGUAGAUAUUCGCAAGAACACCAGUGGCGAAGGCGGCUCACUGGCCCGGUACUGACGCUGAGGUGCGAAAGCGUGGGGAGCAAACAGG
rnacentral:rRNA from 1 species